rnacentral:lncRNA from 1 species
CAAAUAGUAUAGAAUGGUUCAUUUCAAAAUGCUAAAAACUAAAAUUUAAAAAAAAUUUCAUUUUUCACAUUUCAAACUCUAGGUUUUAAUUUAAAAUAAAGUUUGGUGGAAUGAUCAGGUUGUAUCAAAAAAUUCUCGCUCUCUUCUAUGCGGUCCAAGGGAAAUCAAGAAAUCAUUUUUAUCCUCUACCGUGUUUCCAGGGAACGAAAUGGAGAUGAUGACAAACGUUGGGUUAAUCAUCAUAUUUCUUGACCAAUAUGUGUUUCCCAUGCCCUUUUCUUCUUGUACUUCAAAAAAAAUUAUCUCAUUUCAAGAAGAAAAAUUAAUUUAAUAACAAUACUUACUUUUUUGUAUCUCUGUUUAUGUUCAACAAACAAUAAAGAUAUCUAUUUAACAAAAUAUAUAUUUAACUUAGAGCAAAGUAGUAAUUCAAUAUUUUCCUCUUUGGAAAACCCCAAUAGAUAUCCAAAAACCUCGAUCCAUAAACUACUAAAACCUUAAUAAUUUACGAAAAAAUCAAACAACUGAAUUAAGGAAACUCCAAAUUAAAUGGAGAUCUAGACAGAAACACUUCAAAAUUGCUGCCUAAUUAUUAAUUUUAACUAUAUCCUUCAAAACAAUUUGAAAUUAAGAGAGCGUGUCUUAAUAAAAACAAAAACAUUCUUAAAGUCUAUUUAUCUAAUGUGAUUUGAAACGAAAUCUUAAUAUUGGAGGGGGACAUACAAACUAAAAUCGAAGAAUAAGAAAUCUUAAUUUUGAGAAGAACACGAUUUGCAAUUGAAGGAUGACCCGGAGACGUUGCAUAGAGAUGGAGAGAGACGUAAUGGAAUGGUAGAAUAAUUCCUUUGAUGGAGGUUAAAAACAUAUAUAGGGAUGUAGAUGUUUGGUUUGGGUUUUGGAAUUUGGCUAGAUGAGAUGGGUUUUAAUUAAUU